GCGGGCGUGGCGGAAAUGGCAGACGCGCCGGAUUUAGGUUCCGGUCCUACCGGGUGCAGGUUCGAUUCCUGUCGUCCGCA
rnacentral:tRNA from 1 species